GACGAACGCUGGCGGCGUGCUUAACACAUGCAAGUCGAACGGAAAGGCCCUGCUUUUGUGGGGUGCUCUAGUGGCGAACGGGUGAGUAACACGUGAGUAACCUGCCCUUGACUUUGGGGUAACUUCAUGAAACUGGGGCUAAUACCGGCUAGGAGCUCCUGCUUCAGGGUGGGGGUUGGAAAGUUUCGGCGGUUGGGGAUGGACUCGCGGCUUAUCAGCUUGUUGGUGGGGUAGUGGCUUACCAAGGCUUUGACGGGUAGCAGGCCUGAGAGGGUGACCGGCCACAUUGGGACUGAGAUACGGCCCAGACUCCUACGGGAGGCAGCAGUGGGGUAUAUUGCACAAUGGGCGGAAGCCUGAUGCAGCAACGCCGCGUGCGGGAUGACGGCCUUCGGGUUGUAUACCGCUUUCGCCUGUGACGAAGCGUGAGUGACGGUAAUGGGUAAAGAAGCACCGGCUAACUACGUG
rnacentral:rRNA from 1 species